rnacentral:rRNA from 1 species
GACGAACGCUGGCGGCGUGCUUAACACAUGCAAGUCGAACGGAAAGGCCCUGCUUUUGUGGGGUGCUCGAGUGGCGAACGGGUGAGUAACACGUGAGUAACCUGCCCUUUACUUUGGGAUAACUUCAGGAAACUGGGGCUAAUACCGGAUAGGAGCUCCUGCUGCAUGGUGGGGGUUGGAAAGUUUCGGCGGUUGGGGAUGGACUCGCGGCUUAUCAGCUUGUUGGUGGGGUAGUGGCUUACCAAGGCUUUGACGGGUAGCCGGCCUGAGAGGGUGACCGGCCACAUUGGGACUGAGAUACGGCCCAGACUCCUACGGGAGGCAGCAGUGGGGAAUAUUGCACAAUGGGCGGAAGCCUGAUGCAGCAACGCCGCGUGCGGGAUGACGGCCUUCGGGUUGUAAACCGCUUUCGCCUGUGACGAAGCGUGAGUGACGGUAAUGGGUAAAGAAGCACCGGCUAACUAAGUG